UUCUAGUCAUGCCAGAGACGUUGGUCCUACAGAGCCAGAAGGACUCUUCAUAUGAGAUAACAAGGGCUGAAGCCAGUUGGAUCUAAAGUGCCAAGUUAUUCGUUAUCAGGUGUUCCUGGACAGUUUUGAAACCGAGAUGUCUGAACGCCUCAAAUAAUCAGCAGUAAAGACAACAGAGACAAAUUCUCUAAUACCAAGGUCAAUGCAUUUGACUGCUGUCCAGCCCCGGGUUGCCACCGAAAACGUUAUGCAUCUUGGACUGGAAGAUGGU